rnacentral:tRNA from 1 species
GCCGGGGUGGCCUAGCUGGUUAGGGCGCGAGACUCAUAAUCUCGAAGUCGCGGGCUCGAAUCCCAUCCCGCCCCCGGCA